rnacentral:rRNA from 1 species
CCUACGGGCGGCAGCAGUGGGGGAUAUUGCACAAUGGGGGGAACCCUGAUGCAGCGACGCCGCGUGGGUGAAGAAGCGCCUCGGCGCGUAAAGCCCUGUCAGCAGGGAAGAAAAUGACGGUACCUGAAGAAGAAGCCCCGGCUAACUACGUGACAGCAGCCGCGGUAAUACGUAGGGGGCAAGCGUCAUCCGGAUUGACUGGGUGGAAAGGGGGCGCAGACGGCGAUGCAAGCCAGGAGUGAAAGCCCGGGGCCCAACCCCGGGACUGCUCUUGGAACUGCGUGGCUGGAGUGCAGGAGGGGCAGGCGGAAUUCCUGGUGUAGCGGUGAAAUGCGUAGAUAUCAGGAGGAACACCGGUGGCGAAGGCGGCCUGCUGGACUGCAACUGACGUUGAGGCCCGAAAGCGUGGGGAGCAAACAGGAUUAGAUACCCGAGUAGUC